rnacentral:misc_RNA from 1 species
UGGAGCCUAGAGGACAACGCAUG